CCUUCGGGAGCUUGCACAGGUGCUGCAUGGCUGUCGUCAGCUCGUGUCGUGAGAUGUUCGGUUAAGUCCGCUAACGAGCGCAACCCUCACUGUGUGUUAUAUGUGUCACACGGGACUGCCGGUUUUAAGCCGGAGGAAGGUGGGAUGACGUCAAGUCAGCAUGGCCUUUAUAUCCUGGGCUACACACACGCUACAAUGGUCGGUACAAUAGGUUGCCAAGCCGCGAGGCGGAGCCAAUCCAUAAAAGCCGGCCUCAGUUCAGAUUGUAGGCUGCAACUCGCCUGCAUGAAGAUGGAGUUGCUAGUAACCGCAGGUCAGCAAUACUGCGGUGAAUACGUUCCCGGGUCUU
rnacentral:rRNA from 1 species